rnacentral:rRNA from 1 species
AGAGUGAACGCUGGCGGUAGGCCUAACACAUGCAAGUCGAACGGCAGCACAGUGGUAGCAAUACCAUGGGUGGCGAGUGGCGGACGGGUGAGGAAUACAUCGGAAUCUACCUUUUCGUGGGGGAUGACGUAGGGAAACUUACGCUAAUACCGCAUACGCCCUUCGGGGGAAAGCCGGGACCAGCAAUGGCCUGGUGCUGAUAGAUGAGCCGAUGUCGGAUUAGCUAGUUGGUGAGGUAAUGGCUCACCAAGGCGACGAUCCGUAGCUGGUCUGAGAGGAUGAUCAGCCACACUGGAACUGAGACACGGUCCAGACUCCGUACGGGAGCAGCAGGUGGGGAAUAGUUGGACAAGUGGGCG